rnacentral:tRNA from 1 species
GGUUCCAUAGUGUAGUGGUUAUCACGUCUGCUUUACACGCAGAAGGUCGCGAGUUCGAAACUCGCUGGAGCCU